GCCUGUGAAGUGCCCGGGAGACUUCUGUGCUUCUGGAAGGAGUUGGGCUGGCUAAAUUAGCCAGGGCUUCUACGCACAACGGACCGACUACGUGUCUAAGUGCGGAAAUUGAGUCCACCUACCUAAACCUAAACCUAGUUGUAACCAGUAUUCACCAGUCCGUCCAUCCAUGGUAUUUUGUGCUGAACUGCUAGUGCUGGCUGUUAACUAUCAGAAUCAAACAAAACGUGCCUUCGGUUUGACUGAAUACAAAUCGUCCGGACAUCGUGAUAAAAUCGGGCGAAUUUCGGGAGAUCAGUUAAAUGAUUUUACGUUGCUUCAAUAUUAAUUAAUUCCUGAAUUGAACGACCGUUAUCUGACGUUUAUUGCAAACAAUGAUUCGGAAAGAGUGUUUUCAUUUACCAUAAUUACACCAAAUACAUCAAGUUCCUAUAAAAAUAAACAAUUUAUACAUCUCGUUGGGAAUCGCGUAAACAUUUAAUAAAUUCAUAACUAUU